GGAUAGGAUAGCUCAAAGGAAGAGUGCCUGCGCUCAGGCAGGAAGUUGCUGGUUCGAUUCCAGCUCCUAUCCG
rnacentral:tRNA from 1 species